AUGGUGAUGUCCUGUGUUGUUCCCCUCUACAUGGUGAUGUCCUGUGUUGUUCUACAUGGUGAUGUCCUGUGUUGUUCCCCUCUACAUGGUGAUGUCCUGUGUUGUUCCCCUCUAUAUGGUGAUGUCCUGGUUGUUCUCCUCUACAUGAUGAUGUCCUGUGUUGUUCCCCUCUACAUGGUGAUGUCCUGUGUUGUUUCCCUCUACAUGGUGAUGUGCUGUGUUGUUCCCCUCUACAUGGUGAUGUCCUGUGUUGUUCUCCUCUACAUGGUGAUGUCCUGUGUUGUUCCCCUCUACAUGGUGAUGUCCUGUGUUGUUCCCCUCUACAUGGUGAUGUCCUGUGUUGUUCCCCUCUACAUGGUGAUGUCCUGUGUUGUUUCCCUCUACAUGGUGAUGUCCUGUGUUGUUCCCCUCUACAUGGUGAUGUCCUGUGUUGUUCCCCUCUAUAUGGUGAUGUCCUGUGUUGUUCUCCUCUACAUGAUGAUGUCCUGUGUUGUUCCCCUCUACAUGGUGAUGUCCUGUGUUGUUCUCCUCUACAUGAUGAUGUCCUGUGUUGUUCCCCUCUACAUGGUGAUGUCCUGUGUUGUUUCCCUCUACAUGGUGAUGUGCUGUGUUGUUCCCCUCUACAUGGUGAUGUGCUGUGUUGUUCCCCUCUACAUGGUGAUGUCCUGUGUUGUUCCCCUCUACAUGGUGAUGUGCUGUGUUGUUCCCCUCUACAUGGUGAUGUCCUGUGUUGUUCCCCUCUACAUGGUGAUGUGCUGUGUUGUUCCCCUCUACAUGGUGAUGUGCUGUGUUGUUCCCCUCUACAUGGUGAUGUGCUGUGUUGUUCCCCUCUACAUGGUGAUGUGCUGUGUUGUUCCUCUCUACAUGGUGAUGUCCUGUGUUGUUCCCCUCUACAUGGUGAUGUCCUGUGUUGUUCCCCUCUACAUGGUGAUGUCCUGUGUUGUUCUACAUGGUGAUGUGCUGUGUUGUUCCCCUCUACAUGGUGAUGUCCUGUGUUGUUCCCCUCUACAUGGUGAUGUCCUGUGUUGUUCCCCUCUACAUGGUGAUGUGCUGUGUUGUUCCCCUCUACAUGGUGAUGUGCUGUGUUGUUCCCCUCUACAUGGUGAUGUGCUGUGUUGUUCCCCUCUACAUGGUGAUGUCCUGUGUUGUUCCCCUCUACAUGGUGAUGUGCUGUGUUGUUCCCCUCUACAUGGUGAUGUCCUGUGUUGUUCCCCUCUACAUGGUGAUGUCCUGUGUUGUUCCCCUCUACAUGGUGAUGUGCUGUGUUGUUCCCCUCUACAUGGUGAUGUGCUGUGUUGUUCCCCUCUACAUGGUGAUGUGCUGUGUUGUUCCCCUCUACAUGGUGAUGUGCUGUGUUGUUCCUCUCUACAUGGUGAUGUCCUGUGUUGUUCCCCUCUACAUGGUGAUGUCCUGUGUUGUUCCCCUCUACAUGGUGAUGUCCUGUGUUGUUCUACAUGGUGA
rnacentral:lncRNA from 1 species